UUGGCUGCGUGUCAAUCCCCACGGAGGCGACUACCACAGUGCCACUCUCCCUGUUGAGGGCAGAGAGGGAGGAGAGGGGCUGAGGGAUGAAGGGAAGGAGGGAGAGAGGGAGGGAGGUAAACGUGUAAUCACCCAAACAACCAUUUUUACCCAUUUCACCCCCUCCGAAUGUGUCGCAAGGCGCCGUCUUCCUCCCUCUCUCUCCUUCACUGCGGAUACUGAGGCGGAGGCCGGGGAGAAGACAGCAAGAGAUGCUGAACUCUUUGGGCGUGGAACACCCUGCAGGAGAUUUUGGUGGCCUAAACCGGGGGCGAUAUUAGGCAAGUG